CAGGACUAACAUUCACUGUUGUGGGCCUGGGAAAGUAAAGGCCAGUGUUGGAGAAGCCUGAGUGGGUAGGAACUGCCGGUGAUGUCUAGGGCCUGAGGGCAGCCUCCAGCAGACUCCAGUGAAAAGCCGAAAGUCUUCAGGCAUACUACCUGAAGACAAUGAAUCCUGCCAAGUCCCUGAAGGAACUUGAGAGCAGAUUCUUCUCCAGUUAAUCCUCCAGAUGAUGGUGAAACCUGAGAAACCCCUUGAAACUCUGAGCAGGUGACCCAGACCAGCCGCACCCAGAUUCUGACCCCUGGAAAUGGACUGGACAACUAAAUGAGGACUUUCCUGCCCACUGAUACUGACACGUACCGCACUAUUCAGGUGUCCACUAUUCAGUUCUGGCACUGACACUUAUUUUUAAAAAAAGAUUUUAAUUUUAUGUAAAGAUUGAACAUCACUAAAAUAACUUAACAAAAGAAAAAAAAGAAGAAAGAAGAAAUAGACUGUACCUUCAGGUCUUCUUGUGGGCUGGAUUUUGUCCCAGUCAAAAAGAUAAAUGUUCAAGUCUUAACCUCCUCUCCUUAUGAACGUGACCUUAUUUGCAAGUAGGUUCUUUGCAGUUGUAAUCAAGUCAAGACGAGGUCAUACUGGAUGAGGGUGGCCCUAAUCUGACUGGAGUCUCUAUAAGAAGAGGGAAAUUUGAACACAGACACACAGGGAAGAAGACCUCACGGAAGCAGAGAUUGGCGCAAUGUAUCUGCAAGCCAAGGAACAGCAAGGAUUGCUGACAACCAUCAAAGGCCAGGAGAGGCAGGGAAGGGUCCUCCCCCAGUGUCUACACAGAGAACGUGGCCCUGCCCUCAUUUUGACUUGUGACUUCCAGACUCAAGAGCUGUGAGAGAAUACAUUUCUGUUGUUGUAAGCCACCUAUUUUGUGAUAAUUUGUUAUGGCAGCCCUAGGAAACUAAUACAGCUGCCUUCUCUGGAAAUGUUAUUGGUUGCAUAGUGCUUUGUCUCUUCCAUUCCAGAGGAUAAUUCUGUAAUUGAAUGUAGUAAGAAGUCAUCUAUAUAAUUUUCUCAUUUUAUAGGUAAGGAAACUGAGAUCUAAGGACAACAUUCGUAGUAGAUCACAGAGACGUAAUGGGAAGAGUCAGAAAAAUAGCACAAUCUCUUGACUAUUUGUCUUGUGCUUUUCUUCAAUGCACUCUCUUGCAAAGGAAUUUAGAACUAAUGGUUGAAAAAACAAGCAAAUAUGUAACUCUUUAUCAUCUUUUCAAACUAUCGUCACAGAUUUAGCCAUAAUCACAAAGCAUAUUGAAGGCUACAGGAACCAGCAUCUCACUGUUCCAAAUGCAGCUUGCUUUGUUUUUGCUUGGUUCCCAAAGUGUUUUUUUAAAUAUAACUAUCAUAUUGUUCAUUGCUAUAAUAAUAUUUGCAACUAGAUUCAGACUUGCAUCAUUUAAUUCAUGACUCUAACAAGUGAAGCAUUUUCCACCUCCCUUUCCCCAAAUGCCCCCCUCUUCACACAUGUACGCCUAGGGACACAUAUAAACCUCAUCAGUGUUGACACCUUGAUUGGACUAUUAGAUAUGUAUGAAAAAUCCAUACAUUAAUAUAUUUUCCAGUGACUAAGAUCUAUUUUAUGAGAUCUGUGUCCAGUGUGCAAAUAAUAAUAACAGAAAGCUCAGCUCCAGAGAUCAGAGGUGGGGAGGGCAUGUUACCCCUACUGAUGGCAAAAAGCACCACCCCCAUCACAUCAAAGACAGGGAUUUCAGAGCUUGUCAUUGUAUUAUUUAUAAUUAAACAAAAAAUCUGAUUUUACAAGGCUGAGGAGAGAUAAAAUUUGGGCUAUUUUAUUAAAAUUUUAGAUUAAGAUAUAGAACUACUAAACUCACAGGUUAAAAUUCAUAGAGUAAAUACUCUUGUUCACUUUUUACUAGUUAUCUAAUAAUAAGAAGAAAUUUACUUUUCUGAGUUCCAGGGAACAACAUUGAAUGCUCUUAAACAUUACUAUCUAGAUGUAUAGUUCCUGCUGCUUUUUGAUAAAUUAAUUUUAUUUGCAAACUAUGGUUAUCUUAAAAGAAAUUUCAUCAAACCUAUUUUACAUUGCUUUACUUUUUAGUCACCAAUAUUCAUGAAAAUAUAGUACCAUUUUUGCUUUUUGGUACUGCAUAUAUGGUGGGACUUAUUUUGUCAUUAAGUUUAUUAUGCUUUAUUGCUAUGUAUGUACCAAUAUUUACGGAUUUACUGACAAGAACAUGUUUCUAGCCAUGAAAUUUUAUAGCAGUUUUUCAGUUUUUGUAUAUUAUUACUGUAUAAUCCGAUUUAAUGAAUUCUCUGGUUUGAAUAAACACACAUAUUUAUGUAUAAAACUAUAUGUGCAUGAACAUAUAUUCAUGUGUAUUUAUUAAUAUUAUGCUAUUCUAUUUUGAAACUACUUUAAUAUCACUAUAAUGCAUGUAAAUGAAAGGUCCUUAAUAUUUCAUCAGACAAUUUUCCUUCUGUAAUUAAGAAAUAUCUUAUACUUCAGCUAGUCUUAACCACUGGUAAACUGAGACUGUUAAUAGCCUAUAGCUUUACUAGUAUGGUAACCAUCAACCACAUGUGGCUAUCUAAACUUAAAUGAAUUAAAACUAAAUAAAAAUGAAAAUUCAGCUCCUCAGUUGCACCAAGUACAUUUCUAGUGUUCAAUGGACACACGUAGCUAGUCAUCUCUUUAUUAGAUUUUGCAGAUAUAAAGUGUGUCUAUCACUGCACAAAGUCCAAGUGGGUAGUACUGGUCUCCAGCAUUAAAUGCUAGAACUAAAAGUUUUUUAAAAAUAGCUUUUUCAAGAAGCAUAUGAAUAUGGCCAACUUAUGUAUUCCAAAGAAUAAAUUUUUAAGACUUUGUACAACAAAUGUCAAAAGAGAAGGAAAAAUAAAGGAUCUAUGUAUUUUUGCAUAAAGUACUAAAUAUCCAGAUGUCCUACACCAAAUUCCUUCUGUUUUAUGUUGUGCCAAGAAUUGGCAUGCUUUCUACCACAUGCCUAGCAUGGGUGCCAGACUGCGAUCAUCCUUAGUUACAUUGCUGAGAGGGUACAUGUCAGUUAAGGGUUUAGCUAGCUUUCUGCCAACAUCCUGAUUUAAUUCUAAAUUGCAUGGCAAAUAAAAUAAUAACGUGAAUUUUACGUAUAACCUCUUUUCAUUCAUGAUAUAGGUAAGUGUCAGAUAGAUAUAUGGAUAAAAUAUACAUAAUUUAUAUGGUAGCAUUACACUUUAAAAUACAUAUAAAUUUUUAAUUAAUGUUUUACCAUUAUCGUAUGAUAAUUAAAAAUGUAUAUUAAUUGUUAGAUAAAGUUUGAACCUGCACCCUGAAGAAAGGAAGGGAAGACUAAGAAAAUUCAUGUAAAAUACCUCUGCUAAUGAAAAAUAAAUUAUCAAAACUGAUAGUAAAAAGAAGUAAAUUGGGGCCCUAAUUUAAAUUUCCCCUUCUUGUCAUUCAUAAUUUCUAGUUUUCAGUUUUACUAUGACUGUUAGAUAAGAAAAAUGACCAAAGCAUGCCAUUGGUCUUUAAUAAUUCUUUAAUAAUAUGUCACAUACCGUGCUCAGGGGUCAGUGCUCAAACACCAUAGAGAAGGCUGGCAGCUGCCCAGGAGCUUCUGCCUAACAAACGAAAUAAUAGUUUCAAAGAUGCAGGGGUGCUCCAGCCAACAACAGGAAGAAAGGUUUUCUUAUUUUUCACAUAGAUUAGUGUUGGAAAGGUGUGUGCUACUAGGAAAGAAUUUGACUUCAAUAGUGCAAGAAGCCUGUCAAAAACCCACAGCAACAUCCCAGGACGUCUGGCAGCAGAGAUGCAGUCUGUCUGGCAGUGGAGACACUACUCCCAUCUCUUUUCCCAGUCAUCAAAAUGAAGAGUUUCAUUUCACUAUUUCUCAGCAGACAGUUCUUUCUCAGAAAAAAAUUAAAAUAGCAUAUAGAAUAUAUUCAAACUGUAAAUUUUAUGAAAAUUACAUUAAUUUAAGAUGACACACUAUGAAAUGCCUAAAUAUUAUGAGUGCUCAUUUAACUAUUACACACCAACCUACCAUGGAAGAAUCCUAGUGCUCACUGUGGCACAAGUAAAGAUAAGCACAACUGAUAAAAAUAAUAAGGAAAAGAAGAAGGAUUCAAUGAGUGUCAAUUACUAAUUCCUUUUGUUGUCUGUUGCCACUUUCGUUUUAAUAUCCUUUGGUUUUCUUGACUUCUUUAGCUAUUUUGUCUGGAAAACUCAGGAUAGGAAAAGAAAAAUAAUCAAGAUAAGUAAAAAGAAAGUAUGUGUCAAACACCACAUGUUCUCGCUCACAAGUGGGAGUUGAACCGUGAGAACACAUGGACACAGGGAGGGGAACAUCACACACCAGGGCGUGUCAGGGGGUGGGGGGAUAGGGGAGGGAUAGCAUUAGGAGAAACACCUAAUGUAGAUGACAGGUUGAUGGGUGCAGCAAACCACCAUGGCACGUGUGUACCUAUGUAACAAACCCUACGUUCUGCAUAUGUAUCCUAGAACUUAAAGUAUAAUUUAAAAAAUUGUAAAAAAGAACGUGUGUAUGUAGUUGAUUGCAGUGUAAAUUUUUUGUAAUGAAUAAAUUGUACAUUUGUGUAUUAAUAUUUUACCAUAUCUCCAGUAUCAUGCUAUGCCCUAAAAGAGACAUUGGUUUCAGCAAGGUAAAUCUAACUGCAUAAGUACAUAUGUGACAUGCCUUAAAUAACUUCCAGAAUCUAGUAGAGUGUUACUUAACUAAUUAGAACACAUACAUAAUUAUAUAACAAAAAGUAUAUGUAGUACCAGGUUGUCUAGUAUAGACAUGUCUUUAUCACGUAAUAAUGGUUCAAUUAUAGUUCAGAGAAGGGAGAAUGCUACAAUUAGCUGAAUUCACCUUGAUGAAGGAAAUGGAAUUAAUUUGGCCUUGAUGAAUUAUUCAAAUACAUAGGGGAAGAAAGGAAGAAGAAUGGUCCUCCUAGGGCUGCAAAGAAACUGAAUCAAAAAUGAGCAUCUGAGUUCAGAAGGCAGUUCAGGCUUGACUGAACAGAAUUUUUC
rnacentral:lncRNA from 1 species